GACAGAGGUGCCGAGCGUUAGGCGGAAUCACUGGGCUUAAAGCGUGUGUAGGCGGAUCGUUAAGUACCUUGUGAAAUCCCACGGCUCAACCGUGGAACUGCUGGGUAUACUGGCGGUCUUGAGCCACCUAGGGGCGAGCGGAACAAGCGGUGGAGCGGUGAAAUGCGUAGAUAUCGCUUGGAACGCCAAAGGUGAAAACAGGUUGCUGGGGAUGUUCUGACACUGAGACGCGAAAGCCAGGGGAGCGAACGGG
rnacentral:rRNA from 1 species